AGAUUUCUUUCGAAAAUGGCGGAAAAUGUGAAAUCAGUCACUUAAAACGUUUGUAAAAGGGUACUUUCUACUACUGCAAGACGAUUCUGCUAUCCUUUUAUUGAUAAAAGUAGGGCCUUUCCAAAUCUACACAGAGAGAAUGUCGACACCAAUUCCUCAAAUAGCCAAAAGCCAAACUAUGAAGUUCACACUCCUGAGCAGAAAUGUGUUGACUGUUGAAGAAGCUGAACUUUAUGAAUUAGCAAGUUUGGCUGGUGUAACAAUAGAUGCGAAUGUCUUCAAAAUUCUGUUAGAUCUGCUGAAGAUGAACAUUGCACCAACUGCCAUCAUGCAAAUGUUGAAAUCAAUGCGAGGACACCGACGGAAAAAAGCGCCGACUCCUUCAUUUGAUAUGUUAGCUAGUAAAGGAACUCUUGGUGCCA